UACAAAUAAUAACCAGAAACCUACCACGUGCACUGCCGCGAGCUCCUUUAUAAGUUUAUCUUUGAUGUGAUCCGCUGUAAUAGCCAUGUCUGCGUGAACAAAACAUAUAUUGUCAGUAACGUGUUUGAAUAUCAGUUGCAGUGGGGCUAAAUGUGCACAGCUAUCUAAAUG